rnacentral:rRNA from 1 species
CUCUAUGGCCAUGCUCCCCGGAACAAGCCCAAUCAUGUCUGAUCUCAGAAGCUAAGUAGAGUCGGGCCUGGUUAGUAGUUGGAUGGGAGACCACCUAGAAAGAAUAGGUGUUAUAGGCG